CUCUAUUCCAGCAAAAUAAGGAGACUCAGAAGAUAAAAUUUGUUUUGUUAUUGCAAGUAGUGCUAUGUGUGAACAUUUCUGUUUGACAUCAUGUAAUUCCUCAUCAUUGGUGCUUGAAAUAUACAAGCAUUAAGGAUUGAUAUAAUACUAUGUGGCUCACUGCUGCUCCUCACACAACCCAAGGGAAUGGGACACCCUGAGAGCUGAAUGGAUUUAAAAAUGACUAAGCCUCUCUCCCAGAAUAGAGAGAAGGUAAUGAUGCAUAACAGACUGCUGCCCCUGGAGCUCUUUCAGGCUGUGGACUGCAAAAUCCCAGUUUCCAACUCUGAGAAAUAAUCAGCUACAGUACUGUUGGUUCUUAGGGACAAGGAAAAUUCAUGAUGACCUGCUGAUGUCUGGAUUGUCAGCUACCCAGUACUGUCUACCUUUUCUACUGCCUGUCCUCUGCCACCCCAUGCCACCAGCUGUGCUAAGAGCACCGAUCUCAUCAUGCAGUGCUGCCACAGCCCCUCUGGAGAGCCCGACAAACAUUGAGAAGCAAAGCUGAAAAAUUGUUUCUACUUUGUAACAGGAUGGAGUUAACAGGAGAAGGAACACUGAGCAAUGGGGAACGUGCAUUGGCAUUUACAGUUCCUUCUGCAGAUACAUCCUGUGUGAAAUGUGAGUCUCUUCACUGCCUCCUUGAGUUUGAUGAAAGAGAUAUUUAGUGGAACUUUAUUUUUUAUCUUAAAUGUAAUUUGGUUCUCUGGAUAUACACUGACAUGUAGACUAAGAGAAAAGGAGGAUAAUUACAAAAGCUAAUUAAAAUAGCAUCCACAUAAACCAGAGAUUUACACAGAAUUUCUUCCAGAAGAAAGUUCUUUGUGCUUGGUUUGGCUUAAUAAAACUUAUGUUUUAUUUUUGAUGUACUUUUUUAGGCUAUUUCUGCAAAUAUGUAUUUGAGUUCUAGUUUUAAUAAUCACAGUAAUCUCAACAUUCACUUUUUUUCUGCCUAAGGGGUAAAAAUCUAAAUGUAGCAGAAAAUGUAUCUUUUAACACUGAGCCUCUGUAAUGUUUCCUACCAGCCACCACUGAAAAGGUAAUUCUUUUUUUAGGAAUAAACUCAAAUUCAUAAAAGCAAAGGCAUUCACAGUUAAGACAUUGACUCUUUUUUCUCUUAGUCCAAUACUAUUUGUUUAUGUAUUACAGCAUCUGCUGAACGUUA